GCCCUAGGUGUGAGGUCCAGAGCGGCGGGCACCCCGCGCCGAUGAUAGGGCCUCCUCCGGGGGGCCUACA
rnacentral:snoRNA from 1 species